UUUAUCCACCAUGAAAUCAAGUUUUCUUCACUUUCCUUUCCAUGUUUUCUUUUCCUUUCUUCUCCAAACUUCUUGAGCACUAAAUUUACAGCCUUUAACCUCAAUUUCUAGCACAUCUAAACCCUAGGAGGAGAAGAAAGAAAAAGAGAGAAAGGAAGAAAAAGCUUGGUUUUGGUGAUUCAAGCAAGGAACGGAAGUGCAAAGAUAAGGUUGGAGAAUUGUGGUGGCGUGCCAGAGUAAAUAACGAGCGACAGGCCAGUGAAAAUAGUUAGAGACAACUCCGAACGAAUAGCGACUUAAUAUCUCAUUGUUGCCAAGGAGUGCACAUGACUUGAGGACCGGUGGGGGAUUCUAGCCGUGUGCGGAUGUAGGGAGUGCACAUGAGCUGAUGACGACCCAGCUAUGUGCGAGUAGGGUGUGCCCAUGAUGAUGAUGAUGAUGAU